rnacentral:rRNA from 1 species
AUAUGCUCGUCUCAAAGAUUAAGCCAUGCAUGUCUCAGUACGUGCCCGUUGGUUAAAGGCGAAACCGCGAAUGGCUCAUUAAAUCAGUUGUGGUUCCUUGGACGGUGCCAAGUUACUUGGAUACCCGUGGUAAUUCUAGGGCUAAUACAUGCAUCAGAGCCCGGACGGCCGUCCUUUAACCGGGGCGGUCGGAAGGGCGCUUUUAUUAGACCAAAGCCAAUCGCUCUUUACCGGGCGUAAGCGAUGGUGACUCUGGAUAACUUUGGGCGGAUCGCUAGGGCAAGACCCUGCGACGCGUCCUUCGAGCGUCUGCCUUAUCAACUGUCGACGGUAGGCCACGUGCCUACCGUGGUUGUCACGGGUGACGGGGAAUCAGGGUUCGAUUCCGGAGAGGGAGCCUGAGAAACGGCUACCACAUCCAAGGAAGGCAGCAGGCGCGCAAAUUACCCAAUCCCGGCUCGGGGAGGUAGUGACGAAAAAUAACGAUACGGGACUCUUUCGAGACCCCGUAAUCGGAAUGAGCGCAGCCUAGAUCCUUCAGCGAGGAUCCAUGGGAGGGCAAGUCUGGUGCCAGCAGCCGCGGUAACUCCAGCUCCCAUAGCGUAUAUUAAAGUUGUUGCGGUUAAAAAGCUCGUAGUUGGAUCUCAGUUCCGGACGGCCGGCACCGCCUCCCGGCGGUUCACCGGACGGUUCCGAACAACUCUGCCGGUUUCCCUCGAUGAUCUUCACCGAUUGUCCCGGGCGACCGGCGCGUUCACUUUGAAAAAAUUAGAGUGCUCAAGGCAGGCUGACACGCCUGGAUAAUGGUGCAUGGAAUGAUGGAAUAGGACCUCGGUCCGAUUUCGUUGGUUUUGCGGAGGAGAGGUGAUGAUCGACAGGGACAGACGGAGGCAUUCGUAUUGCGGCGCUAGAGGUGAAAUUCUUGGACCGUCGCAAGACGAACUACAGCGAAAGCAUUUGCCGAGAAUGUUUUCAUUGAUCAAGGACGAAAGUUAGAGGUUCGAAGGCGAUCAGAUACCGCCCUAGUUCUAACCGUAAACCAUGCCAACUGGCAAUCCGCCCGAGUUCCUCAAAUGACUCGGCGGGCGACCUCCGGGAAACCAAAGUGUUUGGGUUCCGGGGGUAGUAUGGUUGCAAAGCUGAAACUUAAAGGAAUUGACGGAAGGACACCACCAGCCGUGGGGCCUGCGGCUCAAUUUGACUCAACACGGGGCAACUCACCCGGCCCGGACACCGGGAGGAUUGACAGAUUAAGAGCUCUUUCUUGAUUCGGUGGGUGGUGGUGCAUGGCCGUUCUUAGUUGGUGGAGCGAUUUGUCUGGUUAAUUCCGAUAACGAGCGAGACUCUAGCCUGCUAAAUAGGCGACGUCCACUUCGGUGGGACGGCGCGUCUCUUCUUAGAGGGACCGAGCGGCGUUUAGCCGCACGAGACAGAGCAAUAACAGGUCUGUGAUGCCCUUAGAUGUCCGGGGCCGCACGCGCGCCACACUGAAGGAACCAGCGUGUGUUCUCCUAGUCCGGAAGGACCGGGUAACCCGAUGAACCUCCUUCGUGCUGGGGACAGGGGCUUGGAAUUGUUCCCCUCGAACGGGGAAUGCCUCGUAGGCGCGGGUCAUCAACCCGCGUCGAUUACGUCCCUGUCCUUUGUCCACACCGCCCGUCGCUACUACCGAUUGAACGAGUUAGUGAGGUCCUUGGACUGGCUCCCGCAACGGCCCUUGGGUCGGGGUGGUUGCCGGGAAGUUGCCCGAACUUGCUCGUUUAGAGGAAGUAAAAGUCGUAAC